rnacentral:tRNA from 1 species
ACUUUCUUAGUAUACAUAGUACUGCUGACUUCCAAUCAACAAGACCCACAUAUACUGGGAGAAAGUA